CGCAUCUUGCGCUCCUUGGUAUUCCGAGGAGCAUGCCUGUUUGAGUGUCAUUAAAUUCUCAACUCUCCGAUACUGUUUUGUAGAGGAGAGCUUGGAUUGUGGAGGCUUGCCGGCCGCUCGUUUGAGGUCGGCUCCUCUGAAAUGCAUUAGCGGAACCGUUUGCGAUCUGCCACAAGUGUGAUAAACUAUCUACACUGGCUCGGGGGAUUGCUCUCUGUGUUGUUCGGCUUCUAAUUGUUUCGACUUGAUGAAACAACGUCUUGAAUGCUUGACCUCAAAUCAGGUAGGACUACCCGCUGAACUUAA
rnacentral:misc_RNA from 1 species